rnacentral:rRNA from 1 species
UCUGGCGGCCAUAGCGAGGUGGUCCCACGCCUUCCCAUCCCGAACAGGACCGUGAAACGCCUCAGCGCCGAUGAUAGUGCGGGUUCCCGUGUGAAAGUAGGUCACCGCCAGACGCCCCUCAAGAC